UCCCUGGUGGUCCAGUGGCUAAGACUCUGCGUUUCCAAUGCUGGGGGUGCGGGUUCGAUCCUGGUCGGGGAA
rnacentral:tRNA from 1 species